rnacentral:rRNA from 1 species
AUUGAACGCUGCGGCAUGCCUUACACAUGCAAGUCGAACGGCAGCACGGGUGCUUGCACCUGGUGGCGAGUGGCGAACGGGUGAGUAAUAUAUCGGAACGUACCUUAUUGUGGGGGAUAACGCAGCGAAAGCUGUGCUAAUACCGCAUAAUCCCUAAGGGGGAAAGCGGGGGACCGUAAGGCCUCGCGCAAUUAGAGCGGCCGAUACCUGAUUAGCUAGUUGGUGAGGUAAUGGCUCACCAAGGCAACGAUCAGUAGCUGGUCUGAGAGGACGAUCAGCCACACUGGGACUGAGACACGGCCCAGACUCCUACGGGAGGCAGCAGUGGGGAAUUUUGGACAAUGGGGGCAACCCUGAUCCAGCAAUGCCGCGUGAGUGAAGAAGGCCUUCGGGUUGUAAAGCUCUUUUGUCAGGGAAGAAACAGCAGCUCUAACACAGUUUGCGAAUGGCGGUACCUGAAGAAUAAGCACCGGCUAACUACGUGCCAGCCGCCGCGGUAA